CGCCUGCGGCGGACCCGGCAGAGCGCAUAUCCCGUCAUAUCCGGAGAAAAUUCGGCAUAACGGGGCUUCGCAGGCAGCAGCGCUUUGUACGGCCCGGUACAUCCCGGAAUUUUCCGGGCUUUAAUGCAUUC
rnacentral:sRNA from 1 species